AAGUCGUAACAAGGUUUCCGUAGGUGAACCUGCGGAAGGAUCAUUACCGAGUUAGGGUCUUCCAGGCCCGACCUCCAACCCUGUGUCUAAACUACUAUGUUGCUUUGGCGGGCCCGCCUCUAGGGGCCGCCGGGGUCUUACUACCCCUGGCCAGCGCCCGUCAGUAGCCUUCUGGAAACUCUUUAUAACCGUGUCGUCUGAGUAUAAAUUUAAAUCGUUAAAA
rnacentral:misc_RNA from 1 species